UGCAGUCGACGCGAAGUCACUUCGGUGGCGAGUAGAGUGGCGGACGGGUGAGUAACGCAUGGGAAUCUACCUUACAGUGGGGGACAACCCGAGGAAACUCGGGCUAAUACCGCAUACGACCUACGGGUGAAAGGGGGCUUCGGCUCUCGCUGUUGGAUGAGCCCAUGUCCGAUUAGCUGGUUGGUGAGGUAAAGGCUCACCAAGGCGACGAUCGGUAGCUGGUCUAAGCGGAUGAUCAGCCACACUGGGACUGAGACACGGCCCAGACUCCUACGGGAGGCAGCAGUGGGGAAUAUUGGACAAUGGGGGAAACCCUGAUCCAGCAAUGCCGCGUGUGUGAAGAAAGCCUGCGGGUUGUAAAGCACUUUCAGUGGGGGAGAAAAACCCGAUGGUUAAAACCCCUUGGUCUUGACGUUACCCACAGAAGAAACACCGGCUAACUCCGUGCCAGCAGCCGCGGUAAUACG
rnacentral:rRNA from 1 species